rnacentral:rRNA from 1 species
AUUGAACGCUGGCGGCAUGCCUAACACAUGCAAGUCGAACGGCAGCACAGCCGUAGCAAUACGGUGGGUGGCGAGUGGCGGACGGGUGAGGAAUGCAUCGGAAUCUGCCCGGUCGUGGGGGAUAACGCAUCGAAAGGUGCGCUAAUACCGCAUGAGAUCGAGAGAUGAAAGCGGGGGACCGCAAGGCCUCGCGCGAUCGGAUGAGCCGAUGCCGGAUUAGCUAGUUGGCGGGGUAAAGGCCCUCCAAGGCGACGAUCCGUAGCUGGUCUGAGAGGAUGAUCAGCCACACUGGGACUGAGACACGGCCCAGACUCCUACGAGAGGCAGCAGUGGGGAAUAUUGGACAAUGGGCGCAAGCCUGAUCCAGCAAUGCCGCGUGUGUGAAGAAGGCCUUCGGGUUGUAAAGCACUUUUAUCGGGAGCGAAAAGCGGACGGUGAAUACCCGUCCGUGCUGACGGUACCCGAGGAAUAAGCACCGGCUAACUUCGUGCCAGCCGCCGCCGUAAAAC